AGGAACUCAUCUUUUAUUUAUUCACAGUUUACAUAUGGCAAGGGCUUUGGGAGCAGCGUCCCUCUUUGCCUCACCCCUGACCUGAAAGGAGCAGCUCUAAAUGAGAAAGGCUUAGGAGAAUUCAUGAUUAUUCAUG
ensembl:misc_RNA